AAGGUUGUGAUGGCUUAGGUGGUUGAUUGAGAUUGAUGAUCCUCUUGAGUUGCAAUCACACAUGGUGCAAUUUAUUCGGAGGAAUUGUAAUAAUUUAGAAGGAAGAGCAACCCAGCCUUAUAGAGCUACGGCUAACUUCUUACACUCGAACAUGGUGUGGGCUUGGGUUAGGGGGUUGUGUGGAUAUCUGUCUUCAUGUUAUGGUAAAGUCUAAGGAAUUUGUUGGCUGCAUCCAGAAUACCAGAUAAGAUUUAUGAAAAUGCCUCCAUGAUGGUUUGCGUAUAUUUAUUUGCUUAUCUUCCAUUACCCUAAAUUUAAUCAUGCUAUGUCUGCAAUUGCGUUGACUGAGUCUAUCGGAUAGGUUCCAAUUGAUCCAUUUAUGUUACCAUAUCUAAGUUGAAAAAAACCCUCCUUUUAUGAGUAGACUCUAAGAGGCCUAUAUUGGGAAGAAAAUAUACUAAUUUUAUGAACAAAUGGUCUAGUACCUCUGGGAAGGGGAUCAUUAUUGU
rnacentral:misc_RNA from 1 species